GUGCUCACUUUGGCAGCACAUAUACUAAAAUUGGAAUGAUGCAGAGAAGAUUAGCAUAGCCCCUAUGCAAGGAUGACAUGGAAAUUCAGGAAACAUUCCAUAUUUUU
rnacentral:snRNA from 1 species